UGAGACCAUCAGAGAAAUUCAUUCACCAAUAGAGCAAAAUUGGGACUCUUUGAGACAAUCGGCACGUCAAACUGCAGCAGGAAGGGCACUAUGGAAACAAGUGAUCAAUGAUCCAUUAGCAGAGUUACUUGCAGGGGAGACAUACCUGAAGAAGUUGUAUGAGAAGAUUAAGAAAGACAUCCUCAACAGUGCUAGAGAGGUUUCUGGAGUUAUCAUUGCUGUUAGGACACUAUGGUUUGAUAAAAGAAUUGAAGCAGCUCUUAAUUCCUUUGAUGGUGGAGGAGCACAAGUUGUCAUUCUAGGAGCAGGUAAGUGAUGUUUCAACAUGAUCUCUUGUGCUGUAUAUACCUUGUGACAUUUUAGAUAUAGAGAUGUAUACUUCUCAGGACACUAUGGUUUGACAAAAGAAUUGAAGCAGCUCUUAAUUCCUUUGAUGGAGGAGCACAAAUUGUCAUUCUUGGAGCAGGUAAGUGAUGUUUCAACAUGAUCUCUUGC
rnacentral:lncRNA from 1 species